rnacentral:lncRNA from 1 species
CCUGUAAUCCUAGCAAUUUGAAAAUAAGGUGGAAAAGACUUACUUUAUCAGAUCUCAAUACAUAAUUGAUAAUAAUGAAGACAGCUUGAUAUUGGCACAAGAAUAGACAGACUAAUGGAACAGAGGAAAGAAUCCAACAACAGAUCUACAUAUGUCAUAUGUGGACAUAUGACAGAAGUGGCAUUGCAGAUGGGCGCAGAAAGUUAGAUUAUAAACAAUGAUAGGUGUGUAACCCUAUGGAGAGAAAAAAAUGAAAGUGAAUCCUUACCUCACACCAUAUGCAAAAAACCAAAUCUAGGUGAAUUAAAGGCCUAAAUAUGAAAUUUACAUUUAUAAGGAUUUCAGAAUAUAAUCUAAGAGACUAUCUUCAUGACCUUGGAGUGGAAAUAAUUUCAGUGGUUUUUUUUUUUUUUUUUUUUUUUGUUUUUUUUUGAGAUAGGGUCUCACUCUGUCUCACAGGCUGAAGUGCAGGGGCACAAUCACAGCUCACUGCAGCCUUGACCUUCUGGGCUC